UUUUUUUUGUUUAACUGAUACGGCGAAUAGUUUACAUGUAUUCUGCUUUGAUUUCACGACCAAAUUCUAGACUUAAAAACCUGUCUUUAUUUUUGCAAUGAAUGUUCUUUCCAGUAACGCCCAGAACCGGCUAUUCUCUUCGGGGCUUCUUUCGAGUUCAGAUGGCUGUAAUAAAGGGCCUCUCUGCCUUCUUCGUAGAGUUAGCAAAAUGAGAACCCAGGACUACGAAGUCAGGUGCCCGGCGCAGCAGGAGCACUUGAAUCGGUGAAAAUGUUUCCCGAGGCUGAGCAAUAAAAACUCGAGCCUUUUUCCAGAAGCCUCUCUGAAAACGGCCACUAGAGGGUUAUGGGUGUCACUGUCUAUCUCUAAUUGUCCUGAGAGUAAGUCAGACUAGGCAGUGGUUGGUGUGUGCAGUGAACUUCCAGAGGAAGUGGUGGAUGUGGUACAGUUGCAAAAUUUAAAAGACGUUUGGAUCACUUCAAACCUGUUCCUCUUGUUCUUGAUCCUUUGGCGCAGGAAGUUUCUCUCUAUCCAGCCCCCUGAUAUUUUUUGAAAACCUCUACCAGAUCUCGUCCUGGCCUUGUCUCUAAGGAGAGAAACCCUAAUCUUUCCAAUCUAUCUCCAUCCCUGAAAUUGUUCUUGUAAAUUACUUUUGCACACUUGUACAGUAAAUCUCUUCACCUAGUUUUCAGGUGCAAUCCUUUUAUUUUAUCUUAAUGUAACUUGCAUAAUGCAAUAUGCCAAUAUAUAACUAACUGAAUACUUACAAAGGGAAGAAUUCUCCCAAACAGCAAUUAGGAAAGUUAACAAUGAUCUUUAUCACAAGGAGAACUGAAUACAGAGCAGGAAGGUUGUGCUUCAAUUAUACAAGGCAUAGGUGGAACCACAUCUGAAGUACUGUGUACAGUAUUCAAUUUGAAGACAGAUGUAAAUGUAUUGACACACUACAUUAUAACCACAUUUACAAAGACAUUUACAUCCCACUUCCUGGUCUGUAUUCAAUUCUCCUUGUGACAAAGAUCAUUCUGUUAACUUGCCUAACGAGUUGUCUUAUGAGGAAGGGUUUGACAGGCAAAGUUUGUAUCUGCUGGAGUUUUGAGAAGAAUCAACAUGAUUCAAACAGAAGAUCCUAGGGGGUUUUGACAGGUAGAUAUUGAGAGGAUGUUUCUUCUUAUGAGAGAACUUAGAACGUGCGGGUUACUGUCUACAAAUUAGGGAUCGACCACUUAAAAGUUGAGAUUUAUUUCUCAAAGUAGAGUCUUCGGGACUCACUUCCUCAAAAGAUGGUGGUAACAGAACCCUUGAAUGUUUUAAGGCAGAGGUACAUAUAUUCUUAUUUAGGAAGAUGGUGAAGUGUUAUUGUGGGUAGGCAAGAAAGUACAUUUGAAGUUAGUCAUGGCUGAACUGAUUCUAUUAAAUGGUGAAGCAUGCUUGAGCGACUGAAUGGCCUAGUCCUACUCUUUGCUGGUCUGGUAUAACAGAUGAAGAUACUGCUUAAAAUAUUGCAGAUGAUAAGGUUCCUCAGCUUCACUUUGGUGAUGUCAUUGUUGCUUUAUGCUUGUCAGAAUGUGCGAAAGAGCUUUAAACAAAAAAUGAAAUUGCUGGAAAAGCUCAGCAAGUUUGGCAGCAUCUGUGGAGAGAAAUCAGUUAAUGUUUCAGGUUGAGUGACCCUUCCUCGAAACUUAAAAGCCUUAACCCUGACUGCAGUAAACCACUAGCACUCCUGCAAAAGUCCCGGCGGGGGGGAGGAGAGAAAAACAAACAUUGCCCCUGGAUUGAUGGAGAUUUUUUUCCAUCAUAAAAUUGUCAUUCUUUCAAAUGAAGAGGUUACCAUCAAUAUUACAAUUGUAAAAUCUAGACUAUCAAAUGCAGUUUAAGUCUUCAGCAUUUUCAUUGUCUAAAUUUCACUGGGAAAUUUAACAGCAUUGCUGUGAUAAGGCUGUCCUUUCUUUGCUAUAUGUUGCAUUCUGCAGAAGGCUUGAGUCUGUUGUAUGAUUUGGUUUUGGUUUCUGUUUCUUAGACGUAAGAUGAUUGAUCAGAAAUUUUAACAAAUGAAUUAUCUUUGGCUCACAAAUGACAAUAUAUUCCAGCCUAAGUGAAAUUGUGCACAAGUAGCCAAACUAUGGAGAAAAUAAUUCUACAGUUCAUUUUCUGAAAACUGGAAGAUUUCAAAACUUAUGCAAGAUGUUCCAAAGAAAAUAUUUUGCAUAUCUUUUACAGAUGGUUAAGAUACUCUCUUCCAUUUUGAUCAGCUGAUGCAUCUUAAUUUAACUCAGUGCUGUUCACCAGUGAAAAUGGAUAUUUACUCUGGGAUGUUUUGAAUAAAAUUACUUUGAGAAGUUUCUUCAAA